AUGUCCUCUGCCUCGCUCAACCUCCUGUCUUCUCCAAUCAAGAAGUUUCGAGCUGGAUACCCUUUUUGAACUCUCGGGUUCACAAAGUUGUAAUGGACUAGAACAACAUCCGAAGGUCUUUGAGUACGACUGCAUUCGUCACGUCUCAGGAUUGCUUUUUGGUCGUAAUUUACCAUUCGGGACAUCA
rnacentral:snoRNA from 1 species